rnacentral:rRNA from 1 species
GAUGAACGCUGGCGGCGUGCCUAAUACAUGCAAGUCGAGCGAACAGACGAGGAGCUUGCUCCUCUGACGUUAGCGGCGGACGGGUGAGUAACACGUGGAUAACCUAUCUAUAAGACUGGGAUAACUUCGGGAAACCGGAGCUAACACCGGAUAAUAUAUUGAACGGCAUGGUUCAAUAGUGAAAGACGGUUUUGCUGUCACUUAUAGAUGGAUCCGCGCCGCAUUAGCUAGUUGGUAAGGUAACGGCUUACCAAGGCAACGAUGCGUAGCCGACCUGAGAGGGUGAUCGGCCACACUGGAACUGAGACACGGUCCCGACUCCUACGGGAGGCAGCAGUAGGGAAUCUUCCGCAAUAGGCGAAAGCCUGACAGAGCAACGCCGCGUGCGUGAUGAAGGUCUUCGGAUCGUAAAACUCUGUUAUUAGGGAGGAACAAUUGUGUAAGUAAAUCUGCACGUCUUGACGGUACCUAAUCAGAAAGCCACGGCUAACUACGUG